UCAGCUGUCAGUGCAUGAGUGGACUGAAUGCUAUGAAAUUGCAUACUUUUCUGUUGGAUGUUUCAUGGGAGAGACUUUGCUUAGAAGUUAGCUGAGUAAUCAUGUGAUCUUGGUAUGAGUGUUAAGCAUUCAGCAUGGCUUUGAGUCUGAACAAAAGAGCAAACAAGCCCUGGUGAGAUGAAGAAGGGAGCAGGAGCCUGGAGAUGCCUGAAGAUGUUGGUGAGAAUCACAACCUGGAGUGCAUGGGGGUGGUCUCCUCACCAACCCUUGGCACAGUGGGUUUCAUCUUCACCUUGAAGGAGAGCAGGCCAGACAAGAUCUCAGCACAGCUUCGCAACUGCGUCCACCCUCUCUUCUCUUCUAAGAGUUCACUUGGAAGGCUUGGCAAAACUCAGCUCUCAGGUCACUUCUGGCUUCCAACAUUCUAUAAAUGCUCUCAGAAAACAAAAGUCCAAGAGGGACCCCCUUCACCCAUGCAUCCUCUGCGACCCCUCUACCUCUCUCUUCAGACAUUUCUGGGUUGCAUGGACCUUUAAUCACAAGUUCAUUUGGGGAUGGAAACAAUGCAUAUUGUGCAGUAUUAAGACAGGCUGCAUUUACUAACAAGAUAUUUAUGUUGUUUGUAGAGGAUUUCCUAUCCCCAGGACCUGGCCCAGGCUGAGAGAAGCUGUGUGGAGUGGAAGAUGGACAUUGAGGAAGAAGGGCAGGUGUGGUCUCACCCAGAAUGGUUCCUGCUGCUUCCGCGGUGCCCAGGCUUUUCUCACGGCCUCUGCUGGGUUCUCCCCUGGGUGCUGUGGAUGCAUCCUGCCUGCUGGAAAUUCUGUGCUCUCUGUUUCCAUCCCUUUGUCGUGGUAAUGACCGUAUACCUCUCCCCUGUACCCUCCUCUGCCUGCUCUCCGUGCAGGCCCCUCUCCCUCUGGUUGUCCCAUCAGCAUUUCCCCACAGCUCGUUGUUCCUCCUUCCUCUUUUCUGGUGACCUUUCUACUGAUUGCAUUGUACCUCUUUCCCUGAUAUUAAAGAUGUUUUUAAAAACAACAG
rnacentral:lncRNA from 1 species